GAUCCAUGUCGCCACCCAUGGUCCGAUCACCGGCCAUCGUAGACGUCGCCUCCCUGCCUCCCCACCGGCACCCUGCUGCAAGCGGCUUCUCCCCAUGCGUUGCCGCCAACACCGCUGGACGCUGCCGUGUCUCGCACAAUUCAGGCCAGCACCCAGGCCGAUCGUCGAGUCCUUCAGGUUCAGGUUUUGAACGUUCCUUCUUGUAUGUCCUUUCCUGUAAGAAUCCGCUUUUUAACAGCAGGCUGGUUACUUUGACUCAUGUAUGUUCCUUCCUCCGGGAACAACAAUUUACUGCGUUGGAUUGAGUUGGGGACGGGAACGUGCUCCACUGCCGUUGCAAGUCCUCUGUGGUUCUUGGAACAGCGUAAGCCCAUCAGACGAGAAAAGGCUGAUUCUGCCAAUUCGAGUUCGAUGUCUGGCUAGGUGUCUUGUGCAGACCUGACAUAGGCUAUGCUGGACAUGAGCAAGUGUUCCCAAUCGCAUCUUAAAGAAAUUCAAGUUCGAUGCAAGAAAGGUUUGCUCUUUCAAAAUCAAUGCAUUUGUGAGUACCAAGCUGAAUAAGGUUUAUUAUGCAUGCUGAAGAGGUUUGCCUGAAGUUACAUUUUUCAGAAACUUGUCAGAGGAAGAGACGAUGGGCUUUAGAGAAUUUGAAUCCCUGGAUAGUGAUAAGUAGAGGGAUAAUUAACCUUGAGGUCCUAAGGGCAGCUUUGUAAAAGGGAGAUUCAAUACCAAGAUUUAUGAUUUGGCAUAGGCGAGAUGGCAUACAAGUGAGUAUGUUGUUUUGAGCUUUUCACGUAACCGCUCUUCUAAGGUCAAUGGCUUGCGGACUGUACUUCUAUAGACCCUUUCUUGCAUAAUGAGCUAUGUGCAUGCUCUCUUCCGUCAACCGAUCUCGAUGGCGCCCCCUGGCAUGGUAAAUCAGGACGGCGGGUAUUGGCGGCGCCGCCAGCAUUGUUGGAUUGGAUCGGUUGCAACGUCGAAGAGUAUGGAUUGGGCGUGGGUGGGGUUGAAGAGGAUGGUGCGGGAGGCAGGCGUGGCGGCCGCAGAGAAGGAUGAGAACACAAGUUAGCGAGGCCUUGGAUAAGACCGAGCUCAUCGGUGCUGAGGAGCUGACGGCAUCGCCCACUCGACGACCUUCCACGCCCCCUAAUGCUCGCCAUAGUGAAAGGUGGGGAGCCGACAGUGGAAGCAACAACGUUUUUUCGUUUCUUAUAUCCAGCCGACUGAAACAUACCCACAUCUACCUCUUGUCAUACACAACUGCCCCACUCGACCUCACCCUAUGGCACUCCCACCCUCUCCCCUAUCGCUCGCCUCGCUUUGCGACCGAUUCGUAUGGUGCCCUCGGCGUGGCGUGUACCCAUGUUUCUUGU